rnacentral:rRNA from 1 species
GACGAACGCUGGCGGCGUGCCUAAUACAUGCAAGUCGAACGCUGAAGAGAGGAGCUUGCUCUUCUUGGAUGAGACGCGAACGGGUGAGUAACGCGUAGGUAACCUGCCUUGUAGCGGGGGAUAACUAACGGAAACGAUAGCUAAUACCGCAUAACAAUGGAUGACACAUGUCAUUUAUUUGAAAGGGGCAAUUUCUCCACUACAAGAUGGACCUGCGUUGUAUUAGGUAGUAGGUGAGGGACUGGCUCACCUAGGCGACGUUACGGAGUCGACCUGAGGGGAUGGUCGGCCACACUGGGACGUGGACAGGGCCCAUAGGUCUUGAGGGAGCGGCAAUAGGGAAUCGUCGGCAAUGGGGGGAACACUGAGCGAGCAACGCCGCGGGAGGGAAGAAGGUUGUCGGGUCGUGAAGGUCUGUUGUAGGUUAGGAAAGGGUGUGAGAGUGGAACGUUCACACUGUGACGGUAACUUACCAGAAAGGGACGGCUAACUACGUG